rnacentral:rRNA from 1 species
UACGUAGGGUGCGAGCGUUGUCCGGAAUUAUUGGGCGUAAAGAGCUCGUAGGCGGUCUGUCGCGUCGGUCGUGAAAACUUGGGGCCUAACCCUGAGCUUGCGGUCGAUACGGGCAUGACUGAAGUUCGGCAGGGGAGACUGGAAUUCCUGGUGUAGCGGUGAAAUGCGCAGAUAUCAGGAGGAACACCGGUGGCGAAGGCGGGUCUCUGGGCCGAUACUGACGCUGAGGAGCGAAAGCGUGGGGAGCGAACAGG